AUUGAACGCUGUCGGCAGGACUAACACAUGCAAGUCGAACGAGUGGCGGACGGGUGAGUAAUGUCUGGGAAAAUGCCUGAUGGCGGGGGAUAACUAAUGGCAAAGGGAGAUAAUACCGCAUACCCUACGAAGUUCCCAGAUGGGAUUAGCUAGUUGGGGGGGUAACGGAUCAACAAGGCGACGAUCCCUAGCUGGUCUGAGAGGAUGACCAGCCACACUGGAACUGAGACACGGUCCAGACUCCUACGGGAGGCAGCAGUGGGGAAUAUUGCACAAUGGGCGCAAGCCUGAUGCAGCCAUGCCGCGUGUAUGAAGAAGGCCUUCGGGUUGUAAAGUACUUUCAGCGGGGAGGCGUUACCCGCAGAAGAAGCACCGGCUAACUCCGUGCCAGCAGCCGCGGUAAUAC
rnacentral:rRNA from 1 species